UCUUCGUUGCUUACUGAUCUCUUGUCGCAUACAUCUCAUAUCCAUCAUGCACGUGAAGGAGGGUGUUCAGACUAUUAUAUUUCUAAACAGUUAUUUUCUAACUGAUAGUCAAAGUAAUGAAAUUCCAAAGCAAGACUAGAUAGAUCAACCAAAGGAACAGAAAAGUCAAACUUGGGCGGAUUUUUCUUAGUCUCAAUGUUUCGAACUCAGUUGGCUAGGGCAAAAUCCCUCCUAGUAUCUAUUUUUCACAUUAAACGCGAUGCCGGAGAAACAAAUAAAUUUAAUUACGACAGAUAGGGGCUCAAAUUUCUAAUUUAUAGUCAGCACUCACUCCGAUACCUUACAUACCACUA
rnacentral:lncRNA from 1 species